AGCAGCUUGGCGCAGUGGAAGCGUGGUGGGCUCAUAACCCACAGGUCGAUUGAUCGAAACAAUCAGCUGCUA